CUCUUCAUUUUUUCCUUAGACGACAGACUAUGUCCUGACUACAACCUGGUUUUCUCGGUGUUAUGUUAUGAUCCAAAUUCAAGUAUAAAGAUAAAGGCUAACUUCUGAUGAGUGGAGCGGAGAAAUUUGUUUGCAAGUUAAAGAGGUCACUAUAUGAUUUGAAACGGUCUGUAUAAAAGGUUUGAUUCAUUUAUGAUAGCACAUGGAUUUAAGAGGUCUGCAUAUGAUAGUUGUGUUUACAUUAAAUUUGUUGAUGGAUCACCUAUAUACUUGCUGUUAUAUGUUGAUGAUAUGUUAAUUGCUGCCAAGGGCAAGAAAGAGAUCACUGCUUUAAAGGCACAGUUAAGUAGUGAGUUUGAGAUGAAGGAUCUUGGUGCUGCUAAGAAAAUUCUAGGUAUGGAGAUUACCAGGGACAGAAAUUCUGGUUUGUUAUUUCUUAGUCAGCAGAGUUACAUUAAGAAAGUUCUUCAUCGUUUUAACAUGCAUGAUGCUAAGCCAGUAAGUGCAUCCAUUGCUCCUCAUUUCAAAUUAUCAUCUUCUCAAUGUCCUAGUACGGAUGAAGAUUUUGAGUAUAUGUCAAGAGUUCCAUAUUCUAGUGUUGUCGGUUCUUUAAUGUAUGUCAUGGUGUGUUCUCAGCCUGAUUUAUCAUUUGCAAUGAGUCUGGUUAGUAGAUUCAUGGCUAACCCUGGUAAAGAACAACGGAAGGUUGUCCAGAAUUUCCAGGUACCUUCGUGGCACUUCCAAUGCUUGUUUGAAAUUCGGCAGGACUGGUGAUGAAGCAGCACAAGGUUGUGGAGGAGCAACUCCACCUUGCUGCUACAAUGUGUACAGCACAAGUGUUGAAGGAACAGCUUCAACGUGCUGCGCUAGAUAUCGCUCUAGAGGCGAAUGUAGGCUGAUAGGGCAGCAAGAGUUCAAUCCAGAACUCCUAGGGCACAAGAUCUACUCCAAGAUCUUAGAUAAGAACAACAAAUUCUAUUAUAGGUAGGGGUACAUAGUCUGGGUGCAAAGUAGAGGUGAG
rnacentral:lncRNA from 1 species